UGGGGAAUCUUGCGCAAUGGACGAAAGUCUGACGCAGCCACGCCGCGUGAGUGAAGAAGGCCUUCGGGUUGUAAAGCUCUGUCGGGCGGGACGAAAAAUUUUAGGGUUAACAGCCCUAGAACUUGACGGUACCGCCAAAGGAAGCACCGGCUAACUCUGUGCCAGCAGCCGCGGUAAUACAGAGGGUGCAAGCGUUGCUCGGAAUCAUUGGGCGUAAAGGGCAAGUAGGUGGUCUCGUUUGUCUGAGGUGAAAUCCCUGGGCUUAACCCAGGAACUGCCUCAGAAACGGCGAGACUAGAGUCCUGGAGAGGGUCGCGGAAUUCCUGGUGUAGCGGUGAAAUGCGUAGAGAUCAGGAGGAAUACCAGAGGCGAAAGCGGCGACCUGGACAGGUACUGACACUCAACUGCGAAAGCGUGGGGAGCAAACAGGAUUAGAUACCCCUGUAGUCC
rnacentral:rRNA from 1 species